rnacentral:rRNA from 1 species
GACGAACGCUGGCGGCGUGCUUAACACAUGCAAGUCGAACGGAAAGGCCCCCUUGUGGGGUACUCGAGUGGCGAACGGGUGAGUAACACGUGAGUAACCUACCCUUGACUUUGGGAUAACUUCAGGAAACUGGGGCUAAUACCGGAUAGGAGCUCCUGCUGCAUGGUGGGGGUUGGAAAGUUUCGGCGGUUGGGGAUGGACUCGCGGCUUAUCAGCUUGUUGGUGGGGUAGUGGCUCACCAAGGCUUUGACGGGUAGCCGGCCUGAGAGGGUGACCGGCCACAGUGGGACUGAGAUACGGCCCAGACUCCUACGGGAGGCAGCAGUGGGGAAUAGUGCACAAUGGGCGGAAGCCUGAUGCAGCAACGCCGCGUGCGGGAUGACGGCCUUCGGGUUGUAAACCGCUUUCGCCUGUGACGAAGCGUGAGUGACGGUAAUGGGUAAAGAAGCACCGGCUAACUACGU